GGCCCAUUCGUCUAGAGGCCUAGGAUACAGCCCUCUCAAGGCUGGGACACGGGUUCGAGUCCCGUAUGGGCCACCA
rnacentral:tRNA from 2 species